AUUAGUGAAAUCCUAGGGAAAAAAAAAAGGUAUCUCCCUUUCAGGCAUAUAUGUGGUGGAAAUAUGCACAGGGCUGAGGAUGGCUUAUCAAAAACAACCCACUUUAUACAAGGAAAAUAAGUGGCACUGUGUGCUUGCCUGGAGGCAUACCCACAGCUACAUAAGAUAAGGGGAGUUGCACACACAGGUUUACUGAUAAGAGAAGUUACUCAAACUGCUACAGACAUGAGAGGAGUUUCUUAUAAAAGCUUUCGAAUUCAGAUGUAACCCAGCAAUGCACUCAGACUCCUCUCUGCUGUGGAGAGCUUUUUUUUUUUUUUUUCAUAUUAAACUUUCACUCCAACUUUAUCUUUGUGUUUACAAUUCUUAAUUUUUUUGUCUUGGAUAAAGAACAAAAAACCUGGAGUACUUCUUCAGACAACAAGAAACUUCCAAAUUAAGGUGCAUUGGCAAGAAUGCAACAUAUUUUGAUCCAUUGGCUUGGAAGGAGGGAAUUCAUCAGAAGGGAGUGAAGACUGAUUUUGCAGAGCCAAUAAAGGCCCCUGGGGAAACUGGCCUCAUAUCUUGUCAUGAAGAUUUUAUACAGGUUUCCUAACCUGUGUGCUCACUGCUGCAAAGAAGAACAAGCACACAGGCAAAAAGUUUUCCCAGCAAGAAUGCCAGGGUGAAAGGAAAGAUCAAUUGGACCAGAGCACAAGUGCUGCUCCAGUUACUUGGCAGAGUACCUAAUAGUGAUCCACCACAAUACCACCAUAUAUCUGUUUGGGAAUAAACAAGGGCAAGUUGACUGCUUAAGAGUGAUGACAUGCAACUCAGUCUCUUGCAACACCACCUGAGAAAAGGAAGCACUAGCAGGAAGAACAAAUUGAUGGAGAGGAAAAGUGAUGAAUACAGAUAAGAAGCACAGCUGGUGGAGGCUCAUGUGCCAGUUUACUGGGCCUCAGGACAUUCUCCUCUAGAAGGAGGAGACAGCAUGACCCCCACUUUCUUUUAUUUUAUUAUAAUUUAAGUUUUAGGGUACAUGAGCACAAUGUGCAGGUUAGUUACAUAUGUAUA
rnacentral:lncRNA from 1 species